rnacentral:rRNA from 1 species
AUAGCGUAUAUUAAAGUUGUUGCAGUUAAAAAGCUCGUAGUUGAACUUCAGAUUUGGUCGGGUGGUCCGCUUAACGGCGUGUUUACUGCUUGGCUGGGUCUUGUCUCUUGGUGAACCAUUGUGCCCUUUGUUGGUGUGCUUUGGGGAACCAGGACUUUUACCUUGAGAAAAUUAGAGUGUUCAAAGCAGGCCUAUGCCUGAAUACAUUAGCAUGGAAUAAUAGAAUAGGACGUGUGGUUCUAUUUUGUUGGUUUCUAGAGUCGCCGUAAUGAUUAAUAGGGAUAGUUGGGGGCAUUGGUAUUGAGUCGCUAGAGGUGAAAUUCUUGGAUUGACUCAAGACCAACUAUUG